GCCAGCAUGGUGUAAUGGUAUGAGUGUUAGACUGUGACUCUGGAGAGCAGGGUUUGAAUCCCUGCUCGGUCA